GUCUAAAAGAAUAGAUACGACAAUUUUCAAAAUAAAUCGGAUUUCAACCGGUAUAAUCUACAAUGAACCGGUCUUCUUCAUUAGUAGCCUAAUGAAAAACCCUUCGGAGCCCAGAGCAUCAUUCUUCCCGUCUUCUUCUCUUCGACCAUUAUCUGUUUGUGGCCACCGCAAACCCCGACAAGGAUAGUUUUGCCUUAACCUACGCCCUCCUUCCUCUUAAUGUGUGCACCUAUUCAGCUCAACAAACCCUAUACUUCUGCUCUGUUGCCUUAAAUUUGUUCCAGUGGUGUUUCUAGUAGAAGAAACCUUCUCCAUCGACGCGCUUCGUGUUGGGGAUAUACCUGAAACACGACAAACCCCGCUAGAAGGUUGGUUUAUCAGACAUCUGAUUUUGUGGAGCUCGCGACUUGUUUCAGGGGAUAUACCUGCGGCGAUUGUCGAAGAUGAGGAGUUGGCAGUGGACGCUGCUUGGAGGGCCCUCUCCAGGAAUGGAGGGAAAUAUUAGGCAUCGGCUUCCGGGGCUUAUCGCGCCAAGUAUUUGUGUGCCAUUGCUGCAAAGGCACUGAGGUUGAGGUCAAAUGAGUUAAAGUUGGAGAGGCAAUUGGAGAAUUCAAAUGCUGAGAUCACUUCAUACAAGUCCAACCAAUAUGUUAAGUGGAUUUGCAUUGGAAGAUGUGCUGCAUUAUUAGAGAAUUUGAUUAACUUUUUUUUUAAGUUCUUGUAUUAUUUAUA